rnacentral:lncRNA from 1 species
GGGAUUUCGAUAGUUAUUGUUCUUUCUUCCAUUUCCCUUUUCGUGUGUGGCUCCGGUUCUUCCUUCACUUCCCUCUUCUCUUUGAUAUCACUUUCUUCACUUAUUUCUUCAUCCUUUUCUUCAGUACUGUCAUCACAGGUACUGUCUAUUGAGUCUUCAUCAUUUUCAUCUUUUUCUUCAACAGGGAGGCUUUUUAGGACAGAGUCAACACCAGGCAACCUGCAGCGUUUCUUUUUUCUUCCUGUGCUUCUUCUUCUGUUCCAACCAUUAAAAUGGAUCAGAUAUUCUGGGAUCUUUUUGCCUUUUUCGUCUUUCCCAACAGUAACAUCGACAAUCUUGGCAUCGUACAGCACUCGCGCCUUGGUGGGGUCAGGCUCGAAGCACAGCACUUUCUCCCCUGAGUGGAAUUUAAAUUUCAUGCCCUUGCUCAAGCUCAUUUGCUCAUCAUGGCGGAGCGCGAGGUUCCGGGAGAGGGCGGAGCCCGCAUGCGCAGUGGAGGAGAUAGCGUGCCUCGGCGGGGGUGGGGGGAGGGAGCGGGGAAUGGCGGAGGCUGCAGCCACCCCGCCCUCAGUCCCGCCCAUGUGGACAUAUUUUUCAUUUCUCUUGGGUGUGUACAUAGGAGCAGAAUUGCUGGCUUAUGUGAUAAUUCUAUGCUUAAUCUUUUGAAGAACUGCCAGACUGUUUUCUAAAAUAUCUGCACUACUUUAUGUUCUCACCAGCAAUGUAUAAAGGUUCCAAUUUCUCUGCAUCCUCAUCAAUAAUUAUCAUGUCUCUUUAAAAUUAUACUCAUAUUAGUCAUCCUAGUGGCAAUUUUUUGAAGUGGUAUUUUAUUGUGGUUUUGAUUUGCAUUUCCAUAUAGCUAAUGAUAUUGAAUAUCCCUUCAUGUGUUUGUGGACCAUUAUGUCUUCUUUGGAGAAAUGUUUAUAUUACUUGCCCAUUUUUAAAUUGGGUUGUUUUCUUUUUAUUAAGCUUUAAGAAUUCUUUAUAUAUUUGAUGCAAGUCCUUUAUCAAAUAUGUAAUUUGCAAAUACCUUGCCCAUUUUGUGGAUUGUCUUUUCUUCCUGAUAUUCUUUGAGGCACAAAAGUUUUUAAUCUUAAGAAGCCUAAUUUAUUUAGUUUUUCUUUUGUCAUGUGUGCUUUGGUGUCAUAUCUAAAAAACCAUUGCCAAAGCUGAGCUCAUGAAGAUUUGCUGCUAUGUUUUCUUCUUAGGAUUUUAUAAUUUUAGCUCCUAUAAUUGUGUCCAUGAUCCAUCUUAAACUAAAUUUGUGUAUGGUGUGAGGAAGGGAUACAAUUUCAUUCUUUGCAUGUGAUUAUCCAGUUGUCCUGACAUCAUUUGUUGAAGAGACUGUUCUUGGAUUGUCUUGGAAUCCUGUAGAAAAUAAAUGUGAGGGUUUAUUCCUGGGCUUUCAGUUCUACCCCACUGAU